rnacentral:rRNA from 1 species
AACGAACGCUGGCGGCAGGCUUAACACAUGCAAGUCGAACGGGUGUAGCAAUACAUCAGUGGCAGACGGGUGAGUAACACGUGGGAACCUUCCUCGUUGUACGGGACAACUCAGGGAAACUUGAGCUAAUACCGUAUACGUCCGAGAGGAGAAAGAUUUAUCGCAAUGAGACGGGCCCGCGUCGGAUUAGCUGGUUGGUAGGGUAACGGCCUACCAAGGCGACGAUCAGUAGCUGAUCUGAGAGGAUGAGCAGCCACACUGGGACUGAGACACGGCCCAGACUCCUACGGGAGGCAGCAGUGGGGAAUCUUGGACAAUGGGCGCAAGCCUGAUCCAGCCAUGCCGCGUGAGUGAAGAAGGCCUUAGGGUUGUAAAGCUCUUUUGCCAGGGACGAUAAUGACGGUACCUGGAGAAUAAGCCCCGGCAAACUUCGUGCCAGCCGCCGCUGUAAUAC